ensembl:lncRNA
GUAACAAGGUCAAGAUUAAGGGGAUGGCGGGGUAUGGCUUUGAAAAGAACCUGGCCUUGGAGUGGGCGUGGUUGGGAGGUGAUCGGAUUUCCACCAAACUCUCCUGGCUGGAGCACACAGUGACAGGCCAGUCCCAGCUCGCCUUCACUGUGCCUUCUCCUCCAAGCUGUGUUGGUCACAGCUCCGGCCAGGACUUACCCGCCCGUCUCACUGGCAGCAUGAAACCUGCGCUGCUUCUCCAGCUUCUGCUGUUGACUCGCUUAGCACCUCAGCUGGUGUCUGGGAGUCCCAAGCAACAUUUUACGAGGUAUAUCCUGGAACCUCCACCCUGCAAAUCGGUUCCUGAAAACUGUACUCAUUUCUGCACAUUGCAGGAAGAUUGCCAUCAAGGAUUUCAGUGCUGUUCUGCCUUCUGUGGCAUAAUCUGUACAUUGAACAAAAAGGGUAGACAAUGAAAGGUUCCAUACACAUUAGCUGCCAAUGAAGAUGAGCAUCGUGUCUCUGAUCUUUGAAAUAUCGUCGGCCACGGAACAAGGCAGAGCUGUGGAAAGAGCCCCAUCCCUGAAAGAUCAUGCGAUUAAAUCACAUGAUAAAAGAUCAGCUAAUUUAACAAUGAUCUACUAAACCUCCAACUACUGUAGAAGAUGCUGCUUCCCUCUGCAAGGCCCAGGUACAUGUUACCCACUUGGAAAGGUGUGGUCACCCAGUCCCAUGAUUCUACGUCCCCCGAAUCACAUCCCCUCCAGAUGAACGUUUCCCAAGAUGAAUGCAUCACAAUUCCACAUCCUCCUCCUCUCAUCUGCGACACCCUUCUAACCAGGCUGAUCCCUGGUAAUAACUGGAAGCUCUGCAGUCGCCUUUAUCACCACGAAUUGUCCAGAGGUGGUUCCAGUUGACCACAUGAGCCAGGCCUCUCGCCUUAAUGUUGGCCCAUUCAAACUGCAGCUGUCACGGUUUGAAUCAUCUGACCUUGAUCUGUCCAUUACCAGAGCACUGGUCACAGGAGUCUAUUUAAAUGUAAAUUUAUAUUAAUUACAAUUCUACAAAAUAAAAUAUGCCAUCAGCUUCUCA